rnacentral:lncRNA from 1 species
GGACUGCUUGCCAUGCCACACUGUCCUGUGUACAGAGAGGAAGGACAGGCCACUGCUCAGGAUAGCUCGCGAGCAGGACGGCCAUCCGACGGGCCUGGGGUCAGGCCACCACAGGGAGCCACCUCACUGGAAGCCCGGGUUCCCGCCGCUGCCUCGCAGAACAGUGCUCCUGCAGCAGAGCUGCCCGGCACCCCAGCCGGGCCCCUGGUGGCCAAGGACCCCGGCUUUAGGCAUCUCCUGGAGGAGAACAUGUUCCAAGUCCUGGCCCAAGAGCCUCUGCUCAAGAGGCCCCGCACCUGUCGGUGGCAGGCAGCAACCUGCUCUGUCUGCCCUUUCCCAAGAAGCUGUGGAGGCUCGUCAACAGCAGCCGGUUCACGUCCAUCUGGUGGGAGAAGGACAGGACGAGCAUAGGCCUCAACGAGAAGCUGUUUCAGAAGGAGAUUCUGGAGCAGGACGGGUCUGAGAAGGUGUUUGAGACCGACUGCAUGAAGAGCUUCAUCCGGCAGCUGAACCUCUAUGGAUUCAGCAAACUGGACCAGGACAUGCACAAGUCCGUCUGCCUCAGCAACUGCUUCACCAGGGAGUGGGACCGGGGCCGGUCGUGUCCUGAGCAAGUUCUACAGCAGCCCUCUCUUCAGGAAGGACUGCCCCCACCUGCUGAAGAAGAGGAGAGUGGGCGUGAAGGUGGCCCAAAGGCAGGAGGAGGACAAGGCUGAAGGGCUGGGAAGCCCAGCGGAGGUGGAGCCCAUCAAUGGCCAGCAGAGGAGCUCCUGUCCCUGCGGAGCACCAGCGGGAGCAGCAACAGGAGCUGGCAGGCGGCCUGGAGCAUUGCCGUCCCGCUGCCCCGGACAGGAGCAAGUCUGCCCCUCCCACCCCGGUCAAGAGCGAGUCCGCCCCUCCCGCCAUUCUCAGGGUGGCAGCUGAGCGCCCCCUGACCCAUCGCGGUGCCGAGUACCAGCCCUAGGACACCGGAGCGCCCAUGGCUCUCGUGGCUGAAGUGGCCGUACCCGAGGCGGUGCCCAGCCCUUGCCCGCCCUGCGGCCCCUGCAUAUGUACCCUCAUCCACCACCGCCCAUGGACCUGGCCGCCGUACGCCCUGUGCUGCUGCACCCUCCUCCCUUGUGUUCCCCGGGAUGAUGCGUCUGUGCCACCCGUGGGUGCCCGUCAUGGCUGCAGGGCCCGUCGACCCCAUGCCCUCCAUUCCUCCUCCCCGGGCCCGUUCCCCUACUGCCCGGUGUGCCACUGUUUCCUGGGAUACCUGCCACCUAUGGCUGGGUGCCCAGACUGCCCCUACACCUCUCCCUACUGCAGCUAGAGGGCUCGGACCUCGGGCGGGGCAAUAAACCGGACGGUGACUGGGCCGUUGUCUGCUGA